rnacentral:rRNA from 1 species
AUCCGGUGGUUCCGCAUGGAAGGGCCAUCGCUCAACGGAUAAAAGCUACCCCGGGGAUAACAGGCUUAUCUCCCCCAAGAGUUCACAUCGACGGGGAGGUUUGGCACCUCGAUGUCGGCUCAUCGCAUCCUGGGGCUGUAGUCGGUCCCAAGGGUUGGGCUGUUCGCCCAUUAAAGCGGUACGCGAGCUGGGUUCAGAACGUCGUGAGACAGUUCGGUCCCUAUCCGUCGUGGGCGUAGGAAAUUUGAGAGGAGCUGUCCUUAGUACGAGAGGACCGGGAUGGACAUACCUCUGGUGUACCAGUUGUCGUGCCAACGGCAUAGCUGGGUAGCUAUGUGUGGACGGGAUAAGUGCUGAAAGCAUCUAAGCAUGAAGCCCCCCUCAAGAUGAGAUUUCCCAACUUCGGUUAUAAGAUCCCUCAAAGAUGAUGAGGUUAAUAGGUUCGAGGUGGAAGCAUGGUGACAUGUGGAGCUGACGAAUACUAAUCGAUC